rnacentral:rRNA from 1 species
UACAGAGGGGGCGAGCGUUGUUCGGAAUUACUGGGCGUAAAGGGCGCGUAGGCGGCCCGCUAAGUCGAACGUGAAAUCCCUGGGCUCAACCCAGGAACUGCGUCCGAUACUGGAAGGCUUGAAUCCGGGAGAGGGAUGCGGAAUUCCAGGUGUAGCGGUGAAAUGCGUAGAUAUCUGGAGGAACACCGGUGGCGAAGGCGGCAUCCUGGACCGGUAUUGACGCUGAGGCGCGAAAGCCAGGGGAGCAAACGGG